UACAGAGGUCUCAAGCGUUGUUCGGAUUCAUUGGGCGUAAAGGGCGCGUAGGCGGCGGGGUAAGUCUGGUGUGAAAUCUCGGAGCUCAACUCCGAAAUUGCACUGGAUACUGCUCUGCUUGAGGGUUGGAGAGGAGAUCGGAAUUCACGGUGUAGCAGUGAAAUGCGUAGAUAUCGUGAGGAAGACCAGUGGCGAAGGCGGAUCUCUGAACAAAUCCUGACGCUGAGGCGCGAAGGCUAGGGGAGCAAACGGG
rnacentral:rRNA from 1 species